UGGCUGAGUGCUAAAGCGCUGGGCUUUCAAACCGGAGGAAGGUGUCCCGGGUUCGAAUCCUGG
rnacentral:tRNA from 1 species